rnacentral:rRNA from 1 species
GACGAACGCUGGCGGCGUGCUUAACACAUGCAAGUCGAACGGAAAGGCCCUGCUUUUGUGGGGUGCUCGAGUGGCGAACGGGUGAGUAACACGUGAGUAACCUGCCCUUGACUUUGGGAUAACUUCAGGAAACUGGGGCUAAUACCGGAUAGGAGCUCCUGCUGCAUGGUGGGGGUUGGAAAGUUUCGGCGGUUGGGGAUGGACUCGCGGCUUAUCAGCUUGUUGGUGGGGUAGUGGCUUACCAAGGGUUUGACGGGUAGCCGGCCUGAGAGGGUGACCGGCCACAUGGGGACUGAGAUACGGCCCAGACUCCUACGGGAGGCAGCAGGGGGGAAUAUUGCACAAUGGGCGGAAGCCUGAUGCAGCAACGCCGCGUGCGGGAUGACGGCCUUCGGGUUGUAAACCGCUUUCGCCUGUGACCAAGCGUGAGUGACGGUAAUGGGUAAAGAAGCACCGGCUAACUACGUG